AGCAGUGUGGUGUAUUGCGCACACGGGGUUUUGGAGAACAAAAUUACACCCCGAGGUCCUUGUUCGAAUCAAGGUACUGCUU